AAUUCGCCCUUAGUUUGAUCCUGGCUCAGGACGAACGCUGGCGGCACGCUUAACACAUGCAAGUCGAACGAGAGAAGAGAAGCUUGCUUUUCUGAUCUAGUGGCGGACGGGUGAGUAACACGUGAGCAAUCUGCCUUUCAGAGGGGGAUACCGAUUGGAAACGAUCGUUAAUACCGCAUAACAUAAUUGAACCGCAUGAUUUGAUUAUCAAAGAUUUAUCGCUGAAAGAUGAGCUCGCGUCUGAUUAGCUAGUUGGUAAGGUAACGGCUUACCAAGGCGACGAUCAGUAGCCGGACUGAGAGGUUGAUCGGCCACAUUGGGACUGAGACACGGCCCAGACUCCUACGGGAGGCAGCAGUGGGGAAUAUUGCACAAUGGAGGAAACUCUGAUGCAGCGAUGCCGCGUGAGGGAAGAAGGUUUUAGGAUUGUAAACCUCUGUCUUUGGGGACGAAAAAUGACGGUACCCAAGGAGGAAGCUCCGGCUAACUACGUGCCAGCAGCCGCGGUAAUACGUAGGGAGCGAGCGUUGUCCGGAAUUACUGGGUGUAAAGGGAGCGUAGGCGGGAUCGCAAGUCAGAUGUGAAAACUAUGGGCUUAACCCAUAAACUGCAUUUGAAACUGUGGUUCUUGAGUGAAGUAGAGGUAAGCGGAAUUCCUAGUGUAGCGGUGAAAUGCGUAGAUAUUAGGAGGAACAUCAGUGGCGAAGGCGGCUUACUGGGCUUUAACUGACGCUGAGGCUCGAAAGCGUGGGGAGCAAACAGGAUUAGAUACCCUGGUAGUCCACGCCGUAAACGAUGAUUACUAGGUGUGGGGGGACUGACCCCUUCCGUGCCGCAGCAAACGCAAUAAGUAAUCCACCUGGGGAGUACGACCGCAAGGUUGAAACUCAAAGGAAUUGACGGGGGCCCGCACAAGCAGUGGAGUAUGUGGAUUAAUUCGAAGCAACGCGAAGAACCUUACCAGGUCUUGACAUCGUAUGCAUAGCUCAGAGAUGAGUGAAAUCUCUUCGGAGACAUAUAGACAGGUGGUGCAUGGUUGUCGUCAGCUCGUGUCGUGAGAUGUUGGGUUAAGUCCCGCAACGAGCGCAACCCUUACUGUUAGUUGCUACGCAAGAGCACUCUAGCAGGACUGCCGUUGACAAAACGGAGGAAGGUGGGGAUGACGUCAAAUCAUCAUGCCCCUUAUGACCUGGGCCUCACACGUACUACAAUGGCUGUCAACAGAGGGAUGCAAAGCCGCGAGGUGGAGCGAACCCCUAAAAGCAGUCUUAGUUCGGAUUGUAGGCUGCAACCCGCCUACAUGAAGUCGGAAUUGCUAGUAAUCGCAGAUCAGCAUGCUGCGGUGAAUACGUUCCCGGGCCUUGCACUCACAGCCCGUCA
rnacentral:rRNA from 1 species